CUCUCUCUCUCUCUCUCUCUCUCUCUCUCUCUCUUGCCCAAACUAAGUGAAAAAUACAAAAAAGCUUGGAUCGUACUUGAGUUUGUUAAUGGCGCCAGCCGCGGGAUCAGACAAGAUAAAGCCCCGAGAUGUAUGUGUUGUGGGUGUUGCCCGCACACCUAUAGGUGCCUUUCUUGGUUCCUUGUCCUCCUUCUCUGCCACCAAGCUUGGAUCUAUUGCCAUUGAAUGUGCUCUUAAAAGGGCAAAUGUUGAUCCAGCUCUUGUCCAGGAAGUCUUCUUUGGGAAUGUUUUAAAUGCUAACUUAGGACAGGCUCCUGCUCGGCAGGCUGCAUUAGGUGCUGGGAUACCGAAUACAGUUAUCUGUACCACCAUCAAUAAAGUCUGUGCAUCUGGGAUGAAGGCUACAAUGUUUGCCGCACAAAGCAUCCAGCUGGGAAUCAAUGAUAUUGUUGUGUCCGGUGGUAUGGAAAGCAUGUCAAAUGCCCCCAAGUAUUUGGCAGAAGCUAGAAAAGGAUCUCGAUUUGGACAUGACACAAUUGUUGAUGGGAUGCUUAAAGAUGGGUUAUGGGAUGUUUAUAAUGAUUGCUCCAUGGGAAUAUGUGCUGAGUUAUGUUCUGAUAAUCAUUCAAUAACGAGAGAGGAGCAGGAUGCUUUUGCUAUUCAAAGUAAUGAGCGUGGAAUAAGUGCUCGAGAUAGCGGUGCCUUUGCAUGGGAAAUAGCACCAGUUGAGGUUUCACUGGGCAGAGGAAAGCCAUCAAUAAUUGUUGACAAGGAUGAAAGCUUAGACAAGUUUGAUGCGGUUAAACUGAAAAAACUACGGCCAAGUUUUAAGGAGAAUCGUGGGACUGUUACUGCUGGGAACUCUUCCAGCAUAAGUGAUGGUGCAGCUGCUUUGGUAUUAGUGAGUGGAGAGAAGGCGCUAGAGCUUGGACUGCAAGUGAUUGCAAAGAUCACAGGCUAUGCUGAUGCAGCUCAGGCUCCUGAGUUGUUUACAACAGCACCUGCCCUCGCAAUACCAAAGGCGAUUUCAAACGCCGGGUUGGAGCCAUCUCAAGUUGAUUAUUAUGAAAUAAAUGAAGCCUUUUCUGUUGUGGCUGUAGCAAAUAUGAAGCUUCUUGGUCUUCCUUGGGAGAAGGGUCAAUGCACAUGGUGGUGCUGUAUCUCUGGGACAUCCAUUAGGUUGUAGUGGUGCUCGAAUUCUUGUAACUUUGUUGGGGGUCCUAAGACAUAGAAACGGCAAAGCCGGAGUUGCUGCCGUCUGCAAUGGUGGUGGGGGAGCAUCAGCACUUGUUCUAGAGCUCAUGUAAGCUUUAUUAUAACUUGGCCUCAUGUACGAGCGGAACGAUCUUUAUUAUGAUUAUCAGAUAAUCAGAUCCUUUGUACUUGGUGUGCAUGUCCGGUCAGAAAGCUCGGGUUACUAGUAAACUUGUAGUGAAAUAAUCAAUAAAUGGAUCGGUCCUUGCCGUCAAUUAGAUGAUUUCAGUUGUUUAUCGACGAAUGGAGUGGUUUAGCAAAUGUUCAUCCUGAUAUUUUUUUGUCAUGCAAGAAUGUUAAACAAAGUUGCGUCGGGAAUUAUAAUUCCCGACAUAGAACUGUAAACCGAACACUUAGAAACUGCUUCACAUACAGGAUUUGGAUAUCGACCGGGUUUUGAAUAAUGGAACCAAAGAUUGGUUGAAAAGUUUUAGAAAAGUUGGUGUGAAUUGUUGA